GCAGUCGAACGAGAAAGCUUCCUUCGGGAAGUAAGUAGAGUGGCGCACGGGUGAGUAACGCGUAGGUAAUCUACCCUUAUAACUGGGAUAACAUUGGGAAACUGGUGCUAAUACCGGAUACACUUCUUUACUGCGGGGUAAAGGAGGAAAGGUGGCCUCUUCAUGAAAGCUACCGUAUAGGGAUGAGCCUGCGUACCAUUAGCUAGUAGGCGGGGUAACGGCCCACCUAGGCAACGAUGGUUAGCGGGUCUGAGAGGAUGAUCCGCCACACUGGAACUGGAACACGGACCAGACUCCUACGGGAGGCAGCAGUGAGGAAUAUUGCGCAAUGGGGGAAACCCUGACGCAGCGACGCCGCGUGAGUGAGGAAGGUUUUCGGAUCGUAAAGCUCUGUCAGAAGGGAAGAAGUGUUAUAUGUUUAAUACGCAUAUAAUUUGACGGUACCUUCAGAGGAAGCACCGGCUAACUCCGUGCCAGCAGCCGCGGUAAUACGGAGGGUGCAAGCGUUGUUCGGAAUUACUGGGCGUAAAGGGCGCGUAGGCGGCUGGAUAAGUCAGAUGUGAAAGUCCAUGGCUCAACUGUGGAAGUGCAUUUGAAACUGUCCGGCUUGAGUAUCGGAGGGGAGUGUGGAAUUCCCGGUGUAGAGGUGAAAUUCGUAGAGAUCGGGAGGAACACCGGUGGCGAAGGCGACACUCUGGACGAAUACUGACGCUGAGGCGCGAAAGCGUGGGGAGCAAACAGGAUUAGAUACCCUGGUA
rnacentral:rRNA from 1 species